CUUAAUAAAGGCUUUCUGGUUUUGGCAUGCAAGCAGGAGAGCAAGCAAGAAAGGAAGCAGCUUGAGUUACUUGAAAUGCUGAGGUGGAGGCGUUUGAGAAGCUGUGAAGAGAGAGGUGUUUUAUGAGCCUGAAUGGAGAGCAGUUACAGAAAUUCUGAUGGGCCUGCUGAAGUAGCUAUUAAAAGUGGUUGCUAAACCCUAAUUUUCCAUUUUUGCCAUUGGUAGAGAAGAUGGUACAGAACAUAGUCAACAAAACACAGAUCCAUACGCACUGCCCCAAGAAGCCUAGCCACGGGAUUUUUCUACUGACGUUCAUGGGGUUUGGCCUGAAAGAUAGCACAAUAGCUACUACUUUCACCAGAAGAUGUAAAGGGUAAAAUAACUCACUGAAAAUUAGACAGAAGUAUCGCUUUAAGAAACAGCCAAAUAAGCCCAGGUACCCUCAAGCUUACCCUCCUUUAUGAAAUAAUUUAACUAAAUCUGAAGUGGAAUUCCACCUCAAAAUGCUGCAGAAUAUAUAUGCUCAAAAUUCUGGACUUACGGAGAGGAUACUUCCCAUCUCAGAGAAUAUAUCUUACUACUAAAAAAGUUUACUUUAGGAAUACUCCAUGGGGUUCCUGGCAGAGCUGCUCUGCCACAACAGUUUAUAUCAACCAUCUGUGGUGUGCCAGAAGCUUCCUGAAUGUUCUGCCACCUGACUCAAAAUUCUGAAGAUUUUCAUGCUCUUCUGCCA